ACCUACGGGGGGCAGCAGUGAGGGAUAUUGGUCAAUGGGCGGAAGCCUGAACCAGCCAAGUCGCGUGAGGGAUUAAGGCCCUACGGGUCGUAAACCUCUUUUGCCGGGGAGCAGAGGUCCGGACGUGUCCGGGCCGGGAGAGUACCCGGAGAAAAAGCAUCGGCUAACUCCGUGCCAGCAGCCGCGGUAAUACGUAGGAUCCGAGCAUUAUCCGGAGUGACUGGGUGUAAAGAGUUGCGUAGGUGGCAUAAUA
rnacentral:rRNA from 1 species